rnacentral:rRNA from 1 species
CCUACGGGAGGCAGCAGUGAGGAAUAUUGGUCAAUGGACGCAAGUCUGAACCAGCCAUGCCGCGUGCAGGAUGACGGCUCUAUGAGUUGUAAACUGCUUUUGUACGAGGGUAAACCCCGAUACGUGGAUCGGGUUGAAAGUAUCGUACGAAUAAGGAUCGGCUAACUCCGUGCCAGCAGCCGCAGUAAUACGGAGGAUCCGAGCGUUCUCCGGAUUUAGUGGGGUUAAAGGGUGCGUAGGCGGUUUGAUAAGUUAGAGGGGAAAUGUCGGGGCUCAACCCCGAAACUGCCUCUCAUACUGUUGGACUAGAGCAUAGUUGCGGUAGUCGGAAUGUCUUGUGUAGCGGU